GGGGUUGCACCGGGGAGCCCGUGGACAUGGGCUGAGAGGCCGGCCAGGAGCACCGUCGGCGACCCGCAUACCCGAUCGCGGUCAUGCGCGCGUGGGGAGGAUGGUCAUCGUGUCG
rnacentral:ncRNA from 1 species